rnacentral:rRNA from 1 species
CUACGGGUGGCUGCAGUGAGGAAUAUUGCACAAUGGGGGGAACCCUGAUGCAGCAACGCCGCGUGGAGGAUGACGCAUUUCGGUGUGUAAACUCCUUUUAUAUGUCAAGAAAAUGACGGUAGCAUAUGAAUAAGCACCGGCUAACUCCGUGCCAGCAGCCGCGGUAAUACGGAGGGUGCAAGCGUUACUCGGAAUCACUGGGCGUAAAGGACGCGUAGGCGGGUUGGAAAGUCAGGUGUGAAAUCCUACAGCUUAACUGUAGAACUGCACUUGAAACUUCUAAUCUAGAGUAUGGGAGGGGGAGAUGGAAUUAGUGGUGUAGGGGUAAAAUCCGUAGAUAUCACUAGGAAUACCUAAAGCGAAGGCGAUCUCCUGGAACAUUACGGACGCUAAGGCGUGAAAGCGUGGGGAGCAAAUAGGAUUAGAUACCCGGGUAGUC